UCUAAUUCUAAUGUUUCUAUUGCAAGCUGCCUUAAAGUAUUUUCCUAAGUCAGGCCAAAGUAAAUCCAGAGCCUGGAAUAGCAGAUGAAGGAGUUUGAACUUUAUGCUGUGGCAGUGAAAGGUCAUGUUUGGUCCUUGAAGAGUUUUGAGCAGAGGAUGAUCUGUCUGUUUUACUUAGUAUGUUUUUGAUGGAAGGGUCUUGCUACCGUACACAGAUAUUAAAGAAGCAAGGAAUGGGGGAAGCUGGCAAGGCCCUAAUCCCAGAUGAAUCCAAUAUCUGUUUUUGCCUGGCCUCCACCUGGGCUGUUGAGUGCUGGUGAUGAAAAUCUCACAACAGGGCAGAUGGAUAUUGAUAUAAAUGCAUGGCCGCACCUGCAAAUGGGCCCUCAACAUUGGCU
rnacentral:lncRNA from 1 species